CCCGCCUGCGUUUCGGUGAGUACUGGAGUGUGCGAACCUCUGGGAAACUCGAUUCGCCGCCUGCC
rnacentral:rRNA from 1 species